CACGUAGGGGGCGAGCGUUGUUCGGAAUUACUGGGCGUAAAGGGCAUGCAGGCGGUCUUGUAAGCCUGACGUGAAAGGCUAUGGCUCAACCAUGGCACUGCGUUGGGAACUGCGAGACUAGAAUCAUGGAGAGGGAGCUGGAAUUCCAGGUGUAGGGGUGAAAUCUGUAGAUAUCUGGAAGAACACCAGUGGCGAAGGCGAGCUCCUGGCCAAUGAUUGACGCUGAGGUGCGAAAGUGUGGGGAUCAAACUGG
rnacentral:rRNA from 1 species